rnacentral:rRNA from 1 species
CACGUAGGAGGCGAGCGUUGUCCGGAAUCAUUGGGCGUAAAGAGCGCGCAGGCGGCUUGACAAGUCGGGUGUGAAAUCCCGGGGCUCAACCCCGGGACUGCAUUCGAUACUGUCAGGCUAGAGGUAGGUAGGGGAGACUGGAAUUCCUGGUGUAGCGGUGAAAUGCGCAGAUAUCAGGAGGAACACCAGAGGCGAAGGCGGUUACCUGGACAGUUACUGACGCUCAGGCACGAAAGCAUGGGGAGCAAACAGG